AUGUUGAUUGUUUUUCCAUUACAUAGCAUUGUUUUACGGCCAUCGGGCUACCAUCUGUUCCUUGAGGCUGGUGAUUGUACCGUAUUCGUGAUGAAACGUAUGUCCCUUUUAUGUUCCGUUCUUCAGAUAUUAAUGUUGUCAUCUCAAUCAGAACUGAGCAUCGGUUAUGGGCUUUUGGAUUGUGAUCAUCCUGCUGUGCUGACAUACUUACCAAGAAGAAACAAAGCUUUUGCCUCCAUUUUUUCGGACUUGUGCCUGUUUUGCCCUACAAAGAUAAGAACGGAUGGUCUUUUCAAGAUUAUUUUUAUUUAA
rnacentral:rRNA from 1 species